ACUUUAUGAUUAUGUACUCAACAACCUAUGACUUCGGUGUAAGUAUCUACACUAUGUUUACAUCUGCUUUUACAGCUGAUAUACAACGAUGCGAACUUGGAUCAAUGGGUUGUGCCAGUAUAGUAGUAAAAUAAGCGCUAACAAGAAUUUGAUAAUGUUCUACCGUGCUCUAAAACUUAUAGCUUCCAUUGGCAAAAAUCUCAAGUUUUUCCUUCUACUGUAAACUUAAUAAUGUUCCCAAACGUUCAUUUCAACCAAACCAUAGUACCAUUUCAUUAUAUUACCUAAUUUUUCUUCUUUUCAUAGAUGACCCAACAUUAGUCAUCAGAAAUUAAUUUUGCCCUCGGGGUUAGUACACGACGCCGGUACAUUGCAGUCCAAUCUUGUAGAUGGGCACGCAACCGGGGCAUUUCGGAGGAGGUGCAGUGCUUAGAAAAAUUGGCUAGGAACUUUUCGCGUUCCUCUUGUCCAAUUGUCAUAGCCGGAAGUUGAUCUAAAACAUUCGACAUGUACUUAAUACACAAGCUAGGGUCAGCUGCAAAGACUAGCCGAAUAAGAGGAAUCAAAACCGCUGAUGCAUCUGAUAUGUUAUCUCUAGGAAAGGUAAACACCAUUCCAUUAAAAAGUAUGAUGUAUAGUUCUUGAGAAUUUUUAAGCAACAAGUCAGCUAAACUUUUUAAAAGCGAAUCAGGAAGUGGUUCGAUAAGUGAAUAAGGUGGUGUAUGCAAAGCAAAUGCAAGCAAGUCUUGUAGGAAAUUUAAAACUGUUUGAAGAGGCUCCUGCUGCUCCAGUUGUAAAGACAUCAUGGCCGCCUGUAUUAAAGAUUCUAGCAUUUGGCUCUCUAGUACCAUUUGUGGAUUUGCUAGUAAUGCAUCCAUCAUAAGUCGGAAAAAGUCAUCAAUCACAUCAGGUAUCUCUUUGGGGUUUUUGUUAGACAUGUAAUAAAACAUAUUUGUGCAUUGUUUCCCCACAAAGCUCCAAACAGCACUUAACGUUUGUUCAUCCAUUUCUGGCACACCAAAUUGACGCACACAUGCUCCG